GUUUCAUGCAAAGAUUUUCACUAUUUAGAUUCAUUGCCUUACGGUCAUUAAUAGUGGUGGAAACUACUGCAUGUGUUCAGCAGGGUCCUUUUCUUCUGAACAUCCGGGAGGACACUGCCCACACUCCGUUGCAUCUCGCUGAGCCUCACGGCAUGUUAUGCCUCAGUUCAGGCCAACGGAAUAUGGGCUAAAGUGAUGAAUGUCAAUGCCAGGCUAUCUGUAGCAUGACCACACUCUCUCCUCUGCCCACACACCUGGCUGUGAAGGAUCCCGAGGUGUGUGACCACAGGAGAACUACCUCACUAUCUGUGGAGAAUUGGCUCCAGAACCCCCUGUGGAUACCGAUUCCUGCAGCAGGCCCUGCAGAACCCAGAGAUGCAAAAAGAUGGCCCUCUGACACAUUCUUUGGUGAAGCUAUUGAGAUGUAGGGAGCGUUGGCUAAAAAAGAAAUCUGUGAUUAUCUGGAAUAAUAUGUUAACUAAUUAUGUGACCUCAAACAAAUUUUCACUCUAAGUACUUGCGGCCUCAUCUAAAAUGGGGACAGGAAUAUCUGUCCAAUUUUCUCUUACAGGUUGUUGGGAGAACUAAAACAAGAGAAGCAAUUAGAGGUGAUUUUGCCUGGCAGCUCAUCUGAGAAUUUUUUAAAAAAUGUAGAUACCUGAGUUUUCCUGAAUGACCAAGCAGAGCAGCUUCUCAGGGGUGAGACCCCAGUGUGUGCAUUUUUAAUGCUUGAUCGGUGAUUUUUCAAGAACAACAAACUUUGAAAACCACUAUUGUAAAAAUUAAUUCACUUUAAAAAGUGAAAGGAACAAAUAACAAUGUCUAUACUCACAGACGUUGAGUGAAUGUGGGAUUCUUUUAUAAGAAGCCCAAAGAUACAUCGACAUUCAUGUGAGAGUAAAGUGCUUGCUGAAUAGACAAAUGUUAAUGGUGUUUCCUCUGCAGUCAUCUGGUCCCUAUCCCAACACUGGGGCACCACUCACAGUCCUCCCCAUGGAAGUCACACAGAAGGGUGCUGUCCAGGUGGGUGCAGGCAGUGGCCCUGUGUCUCUGUGACCCAUAGCAUGACUAGGCUCUGUACACAGCCACCUUCUAAACAACCAGUAGUUUGGGAAGAGCUGAAUAUCUUCUCAGCGGAGCAGCUGUAGGAGACAAAAACUCAGCCCCCUUUCAAGGGGAGGUAGCUUCUCAUCUAAAAAAGUCCAAGCUGCUAUAUCACUCUUACCUGAGCCAAAUACCCAGCAGCACCAACCAGGGCAAUUCAAGAUUUCCUCACCUAUAUGUGGGGUGACCAUUAAUAAUUACAGCAAACAAUUAGUUAUCGAGGGCUUCCUGCGUGCAGAUAGUCUUUUAAGUGCUCCCUGUAGAUUAGCUUAUUGCAUUUUCUUGGUAACCUUAUGAUGCAAAUACAACCAUAGCCUCGGUUUUCUGGUGAGGAGAGGAAGCAGAGCACAGAUAGGUAAAAUAACUUAGGCAGAGACCCACCAGCUGUCCGUGCAGAGCUCAGCUUUCAACUCGGGCCACGUGGCCUCAGAGCCUACCCUAGUGAUCGAAUUACACAAUCCUUUGCUUUGCUGGUGGAAGAGACCUCCAUUUGUUGAGCCCUUUUUGUGAUUUCAAAGGCAGCUGAAUUUAGCAGUUGAGCACACCUGUGGACAUUCAGAAAGAAUCUACAAAGAACCAUGGAUAACAGAACCCAGAGUGAAAUCUAUUUCUGCCUCUGGACACUUAAUUUCACCUCUUGCUUGAACAAAGGCCAUCUCAAUGCGAGCAGAUAGGACUGAUUCUGGCCCUCCCUAGACAUAAUAAAAACCUUGAACCCCAACAUCUUGGGGCCCACCAAGCACCAAGGGAAAACAUCUGUGAUGUGAGCCCACUGUUGGUUACUGUUUAUCUGUUCUCAACAAUGCCACGGAUUAUUAUAGGGCCAAGGUCGGGGCAGAUGCUGCUACCUCGUAUGUGCCAGUUCCCCGUAACUGUACCUGUCAGCACCCCUUGGCACUAACCUAUCAGUAAGGUCUUCAAUGAACAGGCUCCACUGAGGUUUGGGUUCCUCCAGCCCUGCAGCUGCUCAUAUUCAAUCCAGCAACAGCCUCACCAAGACUCCAGAAGCUUCAGCCCGCCUGACCCCAUUGAGAUAAGGUGAGCAGGAAAAAAGUCCCUCACGGAGCUCAG
rnacentral:lncRNA from 1 species